UUAAAUUGAAGAGUUUGAUCAUGGCUCAGAUUGAACGCUGGCGGCAGGCCUAACACAUGCAAGUCGAACGGUAACAGAAAGCAGCUUGCUGCUUUGCUGACGAGUGGCGGACGGGUGAGUAAUGUCUGGGAAACUGCCUGAUGGAGGGGGAUAACUACUGGAAACGGUAGCUAAUACCGCAUAACGUCGCAAGACCAAAGAGGGGGACCUUCGGGCCUCUUGCCAUCGGAUGUGCCCAGAUGGGAUUAGCUAGUAGGUGGGGUAACGGCUCACCUAGGCGACGAUCCCUAGCUGGUCUGAGAGGAUGACCAGCCACACUGGAACUGAGACACGGUCCAGACUCCUACGGGAGGCAGCAGUGGGGAAUAUUGCACAAUGGGCGCAAGUCUGAUGCA
rnacentral:rRNA from 1 species